GCCUUUGUGGUGUAGUGGCCAGCACGCUCGACGUGUAUUCGAGAGGUCCGUGGUUCGAGUCCCGGUGAAGCCA
rnacentral:tRNA from 1 species